rnacentral:lncRNA from 10 species
GUGUGGAGACAGGACUUGUGCAUUGCCUAGAGAAGGGAGAGACACAGCAGAGUCAAGCGGUGGGUGGUGAGCUUUGAUGGUGAACACCUGGGAGCUCAGAGGUGGGUAGGAGCCUAUAAAAGAAGGCCCCUUGAAGGAGGGAAGCUAGAGCUGCAUCUUUAAAUGGGGAAAAUUUAUCUUUUGUGUUUUUCCCCCUGAUUAUGAAUUUAUGAAAAUGAAGAAAAAAUAUAUUGGGGCCGGGUGUGGUGGCUCACACCUGUAAUCCCAGCACUUUGGGAAGCCAAGGCAGGCAGAUCACUUGUGGCCAGGAGUUUGAGACCAGCCUGGCCAGCAUGGUGAAACCCUGUCUCUACUGAAAAUACAAAAAUUAGCUAGGUGUGGUGAUGCAUGCCUGUAAUCCCAGCUACUUGGGAGGCUGGGGCACGAGAAUUGCUUGAACCCAGGAGGUGGAGGUUGCAGUGAGCCAAGAUUGCGCCACUGCACUCCAGCCUGGGCAACAGAGCAAGACUCUGUCUCCAAAAUAUGUAUAUAUGGAUGGAACACUGUGACAUGUUGGUCUUCAGGGGAGCAAAGCUACAGAGGCCUGAAUUUCCUGAGGUUUGGAGGGCAGUGAAGAGAUGAAGAGGACAGCUCUGACCAUUGUUGGAGCACAGUGAGCUCGUAGGGCAGAGGGGUCUGGCUGCAACAGAAAGUAUCUGGCAACAACAGGAGGUAUGAGGCUGGAACCCAGGGGAAAGAAACAGGGUUGGGCUCAGCUUCAUAGAGGUAGUGAGGAUUAGGCAGAUGAGAACACCCAAGGAGAAAAGGAGAGAAAAGAGGGUUUGGGCGGGGGGUGGGUAGGUGUGAACAUGCCUGAGAGUCAUUUCCCAGGUAAAUAGGAGUGGAACUGAGGGUGGAGUUCAGUGAGAGGGAGGGAGGAAGAACGACACAGGAGGGGUGGGAACCAGGGUCACCUCUGAAGAGGGGUUUGAGUGCAGGAGACAGGAGUGAGGCCCUAGUGAAGGUCAUUAGAUUUGGGGAUGAAGAGGUCAGCAGAAUGGUAGGGGUUAGAGGGUGAGUUGGUGGAGAGGAAAUGGGGGCAUAGCAAGUAUAAACUGCUAUAGGUUAUCCGUUGAGAAGUACACAGAGGACUGGAGACAGGUUGGGGUUUUGAAAAGGAAACUGCAGCAACGCUUUUUUAGCCAGGGGAAGAGGAGCAAAUCUGUAGACAGAGGACAUAGGAGAAGGGGCCACUGGAGAGGGGGAGAUGGAAGCUACCAGAGAGAGCAGACACUUGAAGGAGCUGAGUUCCAGAGGGAAGGGGGGACAGGGCCUGCAGGAGGUUGAAGCCUCAGAGAAAUGGGGAGAAGGAGGGGAAGUCAUGGGGUUCAACCUGGACCCAGGUUUUGAUCUCCUAAAAGUAAGAGUAAAGGUUGAGGUUGGCUUCUUCAGGUAAGGGUGGCCAGGGUGAGGCUGGGCUGGACGGACACAGAGGGAGGGGUGGAAAUGCUGUUGUGAAGAAUUUGUUUGGGAGUCAAAGGAGCAAUCUAGGCGUGUGAUGUACUGCCUGGUAGGGCGGAGGUGCAGUGCAGCUGGGCUGGGAUUUGCCUUGGGUGAAGCUGAUGCUGCAUCUUGGGGCAGGAUGGAGUAAGCAAGCCAUGGUCUGACCUGAUUACAAAUGAUAGGCUCAGUGCCAGGCUGAGGGGCCUAGGGGCCAGGACACGAUGAGGACAGUGAGGGGCCUCCCUGGGGAAGGGAGGGACAACUGCCAGAGCCUGGCCCAGGAGGGCCCGAUAGACGAGUAUGGGCAGCCAUGCAGUGUGUGGGGUCAAGAGCCUGGACCCUGGACUCAAGAGCCUGAGUUCAAAUGUGAGGCAUUGUCAUUGUCAUGAUUUUUAAGUAUCUGAGGUAGGCUAUGAGUGGAGGGAAGGACAGGAGGAGGUACAGAAAGGGAGUGCUUGCUUCAUGCCAAGGAGUGUUCUAUAUUCACGAGUCCUUUCUAAACCACCGCGAACUAGGUACUGUUUUAUCAUUUUACAAAUUAGGAAAUUGAGGUUCAGAGAAGG